rnacentral:rRNA from 1 species
ACAAUCUGCCCUUCAGUCCGGGACAACUUUCCGAAAGGGGAGCUAAUACCGGAUAACAAUGUUUGACAUAAGUUGAAUAUUUGAAAGCUCCGGUGCUGAUGGAUGAGUCUGCGUCCCAUUAGCUUGUUGGUGCGGUAGUGGCGCACCAAGGCCGCGAUGGGUAGCGGGUUUGAGAGGACGAUCCGCCACACUGGAACUGAGACACGGUCCAGACUCCUACGGGAGGCAGCAGUGGGGAAUAUUGCACAAUGGAGGAAACUCUGAUGCAGCAAUGCCGCGUGAGUGAAGAAGGCCCUUGGGUCGUAAAGCUCUUUUAUGGGGGAAGAUGAUGACGGUACCCCAAGAAUAAGCACCGGCUAACUACGUGCCAGCAGCCGCGGUAAUACGUAGGGUGCAAGCGUUGUUCGGAAUUACUGGGCGUAAAGGGCGCGCAGGCGGAGGUGCAAGUCGGAGGUGAAAGCCCGGGGCUCAACCCCGGAGGGUCUUUCGAAACUGCAUCUCUAGAGAGGGUCAGGGGCCGGCAGAAUUCCUGGUGUAGAGGUGAAAUUCGUAGAUAUCAGGAGGAAUACCGGUGGCGAAAGCGGCCGGCUGGGGGCCACUCUGACGCUGAGGCGCGAAAGCGUGAGGAGCAAACAGGAUUAGAUACCCUGGUAGUCCACGCCGUAGACGAUGAGCACUGGACGUUCGGAGGGUUCGACCCUUCUGGGUGUUUCAGCUAACGCAUUAAGUGCUCCGCCUGG